rnacentral:tRNA from 1 species
GGAGCUGGGGCUCAGUGGUAGAGUGCUUGCCUCACAUGCUUGAGGCCUGAGUUCAAUCCUCAGCACCCCA